GGGCUGCUAGCUCAGGUGGUUAGAGCGCACCCCUGAUAAGGGUGAGGUCGGUGGUUCGAGUCCACUGCGGCCCACCA
rnacentral:tRNA from 3 species